GCAAGUCGGGGGGCAGCAUGGUCUUAGCUUGCUAAGACUGAUGGCGACCGGCGCACGGGUGAGUAACACGUAUCCAACCUGCCGUCUACUCUUGGACAGCCUUCUGAAAGGAAGAUUAAUACAAGAUGGCAUCAUGAGUCCACAUGUUCACAUGAUUAAAGGUAUUCCGGUAGACGAUGGGGAUGCGUUCCAUUAGAUAGUAGGCGGGGUAACGGCCCACCUAGUCUUCGAUGGAUAGGGGUUCUGAGAGGAAGGUCCCCCACAUUGGAACUGAGACACGGUCCAAACUCCUACGGGAGGCAGCAGUGAGGAAUAUUGGUCAAUGGGCGAGAGCCUGAACCAGCCAAGUAGCGUGAAGGAUGACUGCCCUAUGGGUUGUAAACUUCUUUUAUAAAGGAAUAAAGUCGGGUAUGCAUACCCGUUUGCAUGUACUUUAUGAAUAAGGAUCGGCUAACUCCGUGCCAGCAGCCGCGGUAAUACGGAGGAUCCGAGCGUUAUCCGGAUUUAUUGAGUUUAAAGGGAGCGUAGAUGGAUGUUUAAGUCAGUUGUGAAAGUUUGCGGCUCAACCGUAAAAUUGCAGUUGAUACUGGAUAUCUUGAGUGCAGUUGAGGCAGGCGGAAUUCGUGGUGUAGCGGUGAAAUGCUUAGAUAUCACGAAGAACUCCGAUUGCGAAGGCAGCCUGCUAAGCUGCAACUGACAUUGAGGCUCGAAAGUGUGGGUAUCAAACAGGAUUAGAUACCCUGGUAGUCCACACGGUAAACGAUGAAUAC
rnacentral:rRNA from 1 species